rnacentral:rRNA from 1 species
GAUGAACGCUGGCGGCGUGCCUAAUACAUGCAAGUCGAGCGAACGGAUGAGAAGCUUGCUUCUCUGAUGUUAGCGGCGGACGGGUGAGUAACACGUGGAUAACCUACCUAUAAGACUGGGAUAACUUCGGGAAACCGGAGCUAAUACCGGAUAAUAUUUUGAACCGCAUGGUUCAAAAGUGAAAGACGGUCUUGCUGUCACUUAUAGAUGGAUCCGCGCUGCAUUAGCUAGUUGGUAAGGUAACGGCUUACCAAGGCAACGAUGCAUAGCCGACCUGAGAGGGUGAUCGGCCACACUGGAACUGAGACACGGUCCAGACUCCUACGGGAGGCAGCAGUAGGGAAUCUUCCGCAAUGGGCGAAAGCCUGACGGAGCAACGCCGCGUGAGUGAUGAAGGUCUUCGGAUCGUAAAACUCUGUUAUUAGGGAAGAACAUAUGUGUAAGUAACUGUGCACAUCUUGACGGUACCUAAUCAGAAAGCCACGGCUAACUACGUGCCAGCAGCCGCGGUAAUACGUAGGUGGCAAGCGUUAUCCGGAAUUAUUGGGCGUAAAGCGCGCGUAGGCGGUUUCUUAAGUCUGAUGUGAAAGCCCACGGCUCAACCGUGGAGGGUCAUUGGAAACUGGAAAACUUGAGUGCAGAAGAGGAAAGUGGAAUUCCAUGUGUAGCGGUGAAAUGCGCAGAGAUAUGGAGGAACACCAGUGGCGAAGGCGACUUUCUGGUCUGUAACUGACGCUGAUGUGCGAAAGCGUGGGGAUCAAACAGG